rnacentral:lncRNA from 1 species
CUUCCAACUCCUGUAUCCUAGGAUUCUAUGAAAAACUAGAAGCCUGUUUUCAAAGUAAUGUCUGCAUGUUUGUCUGAUAACCAACUAUUUAUGUGAACAUAUUUAGCUCCUUAUUUAGCUCGUGGCGCAGUGGUUAAACUGCUGUACUGCAGCCAAAACUGUGCUCACGACCUGGGGUUCAAAUCCCAGGUAGCCGGCUCAAGGUUGACUCAGCCUUCUAUCCUUCCGAGGUCGGUAAAAUGAGUACCCAGCUUGCUGGGGGGGGGGGCAAUGUGUAGCCUGCAUAAUUAAAUUGUAAACCGCCCAGAGAGGGCUUGAAGCGCUAUGGGACGGUAUAUAAGCAGCACACUUUGCUUUAUAGCCGUAUGCAUGAUCAAGUCAGUUCCAAUAUUGACUGGCAUUGACUUGAUGAUGUUUUCUAGGGAUCAUACAGCUUGUUGGGGGCCACAGAGGUGGCAGGACAAAUAGCUCUGCCAACCACAUAAGACUCCAGAUGAUCUUGGCUGGCUCCAGUUUUGGAAAGGGAUAGUGGGUACUCAAAAGCUACCUGUCUCUGUGGCUCAGCUCUCCAACCCACAGAGUUCUAUCAGGGGGUCUGACUACCAUCAUUCCAGGCAGUACCAUCCUUCCCAGGAGGUAAGCUAUUUUUGUGAUAAUACCUUCUCUCCUUAAUUUUAAUUGGUUGGUUGGUUGGUUUGGUACCAUUGAGAAUCUUCUGAAGCUGUGCCCAUCUGUUAUUUGGGGGUGGGAAUGGCAGGAACUCCACGAUGUACUUGAUGAUUCCAUGGUUCUGUGGGAGAUGAUAAUCAAAAUAAUACUUCUGUUUGUCCAUUCAAAGAGGGUAAGGUUUUAUGGAAUUACAUGUUCUAGAUAAUAUUGCACUUGGUUCUUUCUGCAGGGGCACAUACUUCUUCUGUGACUGGAAGAACAAAAACAAUAACACAUUGCCAGAAACAUCUCAAUAUAAGAUGUGGAUCCACACUAGAAUAUUAAUUUCCCUUCCUUAUUCAUAUGAAGGAUUGCGGCCACUGACUGAUUUUGGUGACAAAGGCAUGCUCAAGGACGCCAUCACUCAGCGAACUCCAUACUUCCAUUGA